GUUGGUGGUGAAGAAGAACCCGGAAGUGAACCAUCCUGCCUCCGUUCGUCCAAACAGAAACGUCCGUGUUGAAUAUGCCUGGCUUCCAGGCUUCUUGGAAUCAAGGAUGAAGCAGAGCACGGAAGCUUCUCUUCCUGCCCAGGGAGGAGACACAGGAGGGUCACAGGGCCAGGCGCAGCACAGAGCACAGGGAAAAGGAGCUCCCUGAAAGGCUGAAAUGUCAGCCUGUCAACGUUUCCUGUGUGCCUGCGCACUCUCUCCUUGGUGGGACGUGGGGCCAGCGCAGCCUGCUCCGUCACACAGGAUGGAUGGCUUAAUCCCACCUGCCGCUGGGGGCACCCGGGUCGCUUCACACCAACUUCUGAGCUCCUCAAACUGGGAAUGUCACACGUGGGCAGGGGCAGCUUCCCUCUCUGAGCACAUUGGAAACAAGUUCCGGUCAUUUGCAUCAGGACUGCCUCGAGGCUUUUCAAAUUCAGACAACAUCUGGUCUCUGCAGAGAAAAAUAACUAAUUCACACUGUGACCUCCCAGAAAGAUCACCGCUUCGUCCUGAAGCACUCCCUUGCCAACAGGUGUUAAUGCCAGGUAAAAAGAGAGCCCCUGUCUAAUGGUCUCCACCUCUGGAAUGGAAAAAGCUGAGCUGGGUCAAAGGAGCAUGACUUCCAGGCAGCCCCUGGGUAGACUUCUUUCAGGAAUCGGCCUCCUUCUCCACCUCCACUUAACCUCUUUCUUUAGACCCUCGCAGAAAGGCUGGAGUCAGGCAGCAGAGGCU